CCCUUAGAUGUCCGGGGCCGCACGCGCGCUACACUGAAGGAAUCAGCGUGGCUUUCUCCCUGACCCGAAAGGGUUGGGAAACCCGUUGAAUCUCCUUCGUGAUAGGGAUUGGGGCUUGAAAUUGUUCCCCAUGAACGAGGAAUUCCCAGUAAGCGCGAGUCAUAAGCUCGCGUUGAUUACGUCCUUGCCCUUUGUACACACCGCCCGUCGCUACUACCGAUUGAACGGUUUAGUGAGGGCCUCGGAUUGGUCUCGGCCCGCUCUUUACCGGGCGGCGCCGUUGGUCGAGAAGACGCUCGAACUUGAUCGUUUAGAGGAAGUAAAAGUCGUAACA
rnacentral:rRNA from 1 species